rnacentral:rRNA from 1 species
UCCCUGGAACGGGACGCCUUAAAGGGUGAGAGCCCCUUACGGUUGGACACCGAGCCUCUGUAAAGCUCCUUCGACAAGUCGAGUAGCUUGGGAAUGCUGCUCUAAAUGGGAGGUNAAUUUCUUCUAAAGCUAAAUAUUGGCCAGAGACCGAUAGCGCACAAGUACAGUGAUCGAAAGAUGAAAAGCACUUUGAAAAGAGGGAUAAACAGCACGUGAAAUUGUUGAAAGGGAAGCGUUUGCGACCGGACCUUUUCCUAGCGGAUCAUCCGGUGUUCUCACCGGUGCACUUCGCUAGGUUUAGGCCAGCAUCGGUUUCUGUAGGGGGAUAAAAGCUCUGGGAACNUAGCUCCUCCGGGAGUGUUAUAGCCCUCUGCAUAAUACCCUUACGGGGACCGAGGACCGCGCUUCNGCAAGGAUGCUGGCGAAAUGGUCGUCAACGACCCUCCNUGAAACACUGACCAAGGAGACCAACAUUUGUGCGA